CCCAACGGCCACAUAGUAUACCUGUUAGAGGAAAGAGGGAUCCCGGAAAAGAGUUGCCGUCAUCAUCGAUAAACAAUGGUGUAAAAUUUGUAGACCACUGAGAGGAGAUCGAUGAAGUGAAACAUUCGACGACAUUGUCCCUUGACUGAGAGGAGAUCGACGAAGUGAAACAUCCGACGGCAUUGUCCGUUAUAUCGGAUUUUGGAGGCGCUUAGAGGGUCUCUUGGAUCUGGAGGAAGCGUGAUUAGGAACAACUGGAACCAAAGGUAUAAGGGAACUAGGAAAUGCUUGUCAACUUCUACAACCACAAGCAACGGACGCAAUCGACAUCAAUUUAUUGUAAUAAGGAAGAAGGGUGAUUGUGAAGAACUUGUUGCAGGGAACUGGUUGUCCACUUAUAUAAGACAAGCAAAGGUCGCAACAGACCCAGUUUAAUUUUUGUAGGAUUAAGGGUGAUUGUGAAGAACUGAAACUGAAGGAAGCAUAUACGAGAAUUUUGAAGCAAGAGAUUUGGUGGUGUUGAUGCAAAUUGUUCAAGUGAGCUGAGGUGCUGAAACUGAUAGCACUCCAUAUCACAGAUGGCUAACAUGGACACAAACGAAGGGGGCCUUCGGUACAGUGACCAUAUUUAUCAUGAUUGUUCAUCAUCGGACGAUGAAUCAGAAGAUGAAAUGUCUAUUCGGUUUGGUAAAUGCACUAAGGUAACAGCGCGUACAAAGGAGGCAACUGACGGUAUAAUACCUGCUGAAUCAGGUGAAUUGAGGAAAUCAUGAGGCGUAGUUGAAGAGGAGGAAACAUUACCUGAGUGCGCUUUUCCAAGAAGAGAAUAUGUGAACCACACGGGGUCGGCACAACUGAAUGGGAUGAACUUCGAAGACCUCACAACGGAUGAUAUGAUGGGGGUAUACUUCCCAACUAUAGAAGAGGCAGAAAAGUUCUACUCGUUGUACUCAUGAAUACUUGGUUUCAGCGUAAGGAGGGACAGAGUGCAGAAGGAAGGCAAUGGUUUGGUGGUAAGGAGGCAGUGGGUCUAUUCAAAACAAAGAUUGGCAAGUAUCAAAACCGUAUAUCUAUUUAAACAAACAAAUGAAUUUUUACUUUUUGAUCAUGUCAAUA